rnacentral:rRNA from 1 species
GACGAACGCUGGCGGCGUGCCUAAUACAUGCAAGUAGAACGCUGAAGGAGGAGCUUGCUUCUCUGGAUGAGUUGCGAACGGGUGAGUAACGCGUAGGUAACCUGCCUGGUAGCGGGGGAUAACUAUUGGAAACGAUAGCUAAUACCGCAUAAGAGUAGAUGUUGCAUGACAUUUGCUUAAAAGGUGCAAUUGCAUCACUACCAGAUGGACCUGCGUUGUAUUAGCUAGUUGGUGAGGUAACGGCUCACCAAGGCGACGAUACAGAGCCGACCUGAGAGGGUGGUCGGCCACACUGGGAGUGAGACACGGCCCAGACGGCUACGGGAGGGAGCAGUAGGGAAUCUGCGGCAAGGGGCGGAAGUCUGACCGAGCAACGCCGCGGGAGGGAAGAAGGUUUUCGGAUCGUAAAGCUCGGUUGUAAGAGAAGAACGAGUGUGAGAGUGGAAAGUUCACACUGUGACGGUAACUUACCAGAAAGGGACGGCUAACUACGUG